rnacentral:rRNA from 1 species
UAGGGAAUCUUCCGCAAUGGGCGAAAGCCUGACGGAGCAACGCCGCGUGAGUGAUGAAGGUCUUCGGAUCGUAAAACUCUGUUAUUAGGGAAGAACAAAUGUGUAAGUAACUAUGCACGUCUUGACGGUACCUAAUCAGAAAGCCACGGCUAACUACGUGCCAGCAGCCGCGGUAAUACGUAGGUGGCAAGCGUUAUCCGGAAUUAUUGGGCGUAAAGCGCGCGUAGGCGGUUUUUUAAGACUGAUGUGAAAGCCCACGGCUCAACCGUGGAGGGUCAUUGGAAACUGGAAAACUUGAGUGCAGAAGAGGAAAGUGGAAUUCCAUGUGUAGCGGUGAAAUGCGCAGAGAUAUGGAGGAACACCAGUGGCGAAGGCGACUUUCUGGUCUGUAACUGACGCUGAUGUGCGAAAGCGUGGGGAUCAAACAGG